CCCAUCCCGGGGGCGGAUCGCAGGUGGCUUCCCUCAUAGUGGCAAAAGGGCUGCAGGAGCUCUGGGACUCACGUGCAUCCUCCAUCAUGAACAAGAGGAGAAGGGAACCACCCAGGAAGGUCGCUCCUAAAACCCUGACUCACAGACACUGAACUAACACAUGUUUAUGGUUGUCUUAAAGCAGUCGGUUUUGAGGUCACCUGUUCUUCACAAGACGUAAUGAAUGCAGCAGUUCAGGCUUUCCUGCAGUCGACUGAGUUCUCUGGUAACUGUGAGCAGGACUGAUGCGUGCCACCUGCAGGCCCACCCAUACGAACUUCCCACCCGAACCUCUGCAGCCUCCAUGCCCGGUCCUCUUGGCCUCAGGUCCCCUAGGCCAGCCAUGGGGGCCACAAGCUGAAGACGGCAGAGGUACAAGAGGAAGAAGUCUGGGGCCCUCAAUCAUGGCUGGGGGAUUGCUGCCCAGGAAUACCACCUGACCAGAGACACCACAUGAAUGAUUCCAUGAGCAGGAAAUAAAUCUUCAUGUUUAAGCCACUGAGAUUUGGGGAUUUAUCCAUUACAGUACCUAAAGUCACCUUAAACUAAUACUCUUUCUUUUUUUUUUUUUUUUUUUUUUGAGUCGGCGUCUUGCUCUGUGGCCCAGGCUGGAGUGCAGUGUCGAGAUCCCGGUUCACUGCAACCUCCGCCUCCCGGGUUCAAGUGAUUCUCCUGCCUCAGCUUCCUGAGUAACUGGGAUUACAGUCAUACGCUACCACACCUGGCUCAUUUUUGUAUUUUUAGGAGGGACAGGGUUUCACCAUGUUGGUCAAGCUGGUCUCGAACUCCUGACCUCGUGAUCCUCCCACCUCGGCCUCCCAAAGUGCUGGGAUUAUAGGCAUGAGCCACUGCGCCCGGCCUAAUACUCUUUCAUACAGAAUUUUUUUUCCCCCAGGCUGGAUUGUAAUGGCGUGAUCUCGGUCACUGCAACCUCCACCUCCCCGGUUCAAGCGAU
rnacentral:lncRNA from 1 species